rnacentral:rRNA from 1 species
UUUGCGGAGAGUUUGAUCCUGGCUCAGGAUGAACGCUGGCGGCGUGCCUAAUACAUGCAAGUCGAACGAGGUGCCUUUGUAGCAAUACGAAGGUAUCCUAGUGGCGAACGGGUGAGUAACGCGUUGGUGACCUACCCCAAAGUGUGGGAUAACAGAUCGAAAGAUCUGCUAAUACCGCAUGUGGUCUUCGGAUUUAGAAACUGAUGACUAAAGGAGCAAUUCGCUUUGGGAGGGACCUGCGUCCCAUCAGCUAGUUGGUGAGGUAAUGGCUCACCAAGGCUACGACGGGUAGGGGACCUGAGAGGGUGGCCCCCCACAAUGGAACUGAAACACGGUCCAUACACCUACGGGUGGCAGCAGUAG